GACGAACGCUGGCGGCGUGCCUAAUACAUGCAAGUAGAACGCUGAAGAGAGGAGCUUGCUCUUCUUGGAUGAGUUGCGAACGGGUGAGUAACGCGUAGGUAACCUGCCUUGUAGCGGGGGAUAACUAUUGGAAACGAUAGCUAAUACCGCAUAACAAUGGAUGACACAUGUCAUUUAUUUGAAAGGGGCAAUUGCUCCACUACAAGAUGGACCUGCGUUGUAUUAGCUAGUAGGUGAGGUAAUGGCUCACCUAGGCGACGAUACAUAGCCGACCUGAGAGGGUGAUCGGCCACGCUGGGACUGAGACACGGCCCAGACUCCUACGGGAGGCAGCAGUAGGGAAUCUUCGGCAAUGGGGGCAACCCUGACCGAGCAACGCCGCGUGAGUGAAGAAGGUUUUCGGAUCGUAAAGCUCUGUUGUAAGUCAAGAACGGGUGUGAGAGUGGAAAGUUCACACUGUGACGGUAGCCUACCAGAAAGGGACGGCUAACUACGUG
rnacentral:rRNA from 1 species